ACAGCUGAAGAUUAAAUUUUUGGAAAAAUAAAAUGGGUUUAUCUUUGCAGUUAUUCAAAUCUAUCUAUCUAUAAUUUUAACAGUAGAGGUGAGAGUUUGGCAAGAGGAAAGAGUGAGAAAAAGUCCACAUUCCAAAUAUGAAAGCUUGAUGUGGGUCUACCUAGGAUAGCAGCGUCAUGCUCCUUGGUCAUAUCCAGCCACACAGUCUGCACUGUUCCUGGGGUAGGAGUGGGAGUUGGGGGAAUGCUUGCUUUACUUUAAAGUGACCUCCUUGGCUAAUGUUUACAGAUGUAUUAAUAAGCUUGAAGAGGGAGUCGCAUCCAGUUUUGUUGUUCUGUUUUGUUUUUUAAUCAAAAGGAAUAACAACUGAGGUCAAAAGAUUUUGAAGAAGGGGAGGACAUCUGGGGACUUUUCCACCAUUGGUAGCUUUUCAAAAGACCAAACCAUUUCCUUAUACUUCAGGCACACAUUUACAGGCAGAGAUUGUCCACAAUUCACAUUUCCCCCCUCAGUAGAUAUAAGAAGAAUGCCUUCACAGAUGAAUUGCUAAGAAAUAGCUGGAGUCUGGGUCAGUUCUCCUCUUUUUGGUCUGUGACCUCAUCGUCAAAGCACUCCAUCCUCCCUCUCUAGCCCCCUCCAGCAACCCCAGUAAAUGAGUACGCAUUACAUACAGGUAAAACUAUCAUAUCCUUAAACAAAUGUCCUUUUCAAAAGUAUAAUAUAAAGCAGACCUAGAAAGUCUGCUGCUAUAAUGAUUUCAUGUUUUGCUGAUCCUGGUCUUUUCUUUUGAAAGGCUUUUUAGUGGUCCCCAGUGAAAAGUUGAGAUCAGCAUUUAAAUUCAGAUCUAUCUUUUUAACAUACUUUAAGUCCUCAGAAGUCACUAAGUCUCAGUGGCUUUGAGAAUUUAUAAGCAUAUCCAGGAUGUUAAGGGUAACUUCCAUAUUUUUUUUCCAGGCAAAAUUACACUAAUUGAAAUUUGUAUUUUUCCUCCCCUUUGUGAUUUGAAGGAAACAUACUGUGGAAAAGAAAUAAGAUUUGUUCAAGACCAUUUCUUUGUGUGAAGCAGCUCUCCCUAGACAGUCAGGGACCAAUUAUAGGAAUUUCCUAUAUUCUUUGGAUUUUUACAGCUGAUAUCUGCUUGUUCCUUUCCUAGGUAACAGCAGCCUGCACAUGUGCAAUGAGACACAGGAAAGAAAAAAAAGAAAAACGAAAAAAAGUAAUUAUGUUGUUCCUUGUUAUACGCAGUUACCAGCGUUUGGUUAGAAUGCUCAUGCGAGUUCUAAUUCUAAAUGAAAAGAUUAAGGCAAAAGAAGCCAACAUUCUCUUUAAAAUUACCACUUUUCUGAAUCAAUCAACAUAUUCAUUUGCAUGUAAAACUUAGAGUUUCUUGCUUCCAUAAAAUUUUUCUUCUAUGUCCUUUGAAGUCCUACUCUCCUUUCUUUACACUUGUUAUAAAGACAUUUUUAUUUACCAUUAAAAGCCUGAGAAAAACUGAUCAAGGCCUGAAGCUUUCAUGUUCUUAAAGGUUUGCAUCUACAUGUUAAAUUGCAAAAAUGCAGCCACUGAAAACUGUCCAAGGAGGAAUAUAACAAAUAGCCAAGUUCCUUUGAACUUUAAAAAUGUUUUUGUUUUAUAUUAAGUUGUUUCCUGUGAUUUAGAACUAUGUCAGGACCUUCUCAGUUCUCAUGGAGAAUGAAAUCAUCCAACAAAACACAUUUUUUAUUGAGCAUCUACUACAGGGCUGAGACAGGGAUAAGGCAAGUGACAUACUAAUUAGUCGAAAUUUAAGGAGGUUUCCAACCUCUGGUUUGUGAUCAAACCUGAGCACACAAGCACCUAAGUCCCUGCCCUAAACUACUCUAUGGCACCAAAGGCUCUUCAACUUUAUUUAUUGACCAAUUUCAAGCCAACAAUGUUGCCGGAUAUUUGAGGAAAAAUUAAGAUGAACAAUUAUAUAGAAAAAGUGCAAGACAGAAACCUGACCUCCUAGAGUUUGUGAUCCUUGGAAACCUACCCAUCGGUAGAAACACAGCAAGCAUGACCUAGCAAGGAUAUGAGUUUCUGUUGCUGACUAUCUGAGCUACAACUCUGUUUCCUACUCAGGUGAUAGAAGACACAGUGUUUUCAAUACUUCUAAGUCUCAUUUAUGAAAUGUUAACAAUAAUAGUGCCCACUUUACAAGUAUAAUGAGAAUUCAGUAAGAUAUCUUAUUUUAAAAUGGAUCUAUUUUGUUAUUAUGAUUAUUAUUUUUUAAGAAAGCAAAACUAAAUAAAACAUCUACUUUCAUACAAAACAAAGUAGCAUUAAAGGGAAAAUAAAACCAUAAAUACAAAUGGCCAUGAAUUUUUAUUUGAUUUUUUAUGAUUAUGCUAAGAUUAUAAAGAAAUUGACAUUUCUACUUCCAUAAUAAAAAUUACUUUAAAAGCUUUUAUUUCAUAGGGAACUAUAUCUAAUCACUUGUGAUACAACAUGAUGCAGGAUAAUGUGAGCAAAAGUAUGUGUAUGUAAGUAUAUAUAUAUAAGUAUAUAAAUAUGUAUCUGUGUCACUUUGUUGUACAGUAGAAAUUGAUAGAAGAGUAUACAUCAACUAUAAAGGAAAAAAUAAAAAUCAUAAAAUUAAUUUAAAAAAUAAAAGAAGAUAUAUAUAUCAAACUAUGAGGUUUUGCCUGAAAAAAAAAGAAAAGCUCUCAUCUCCUAUAAAAAUUCUAAGAUUAUUAACCUGAAAACUAGGUAAUGAGAGUAAUAAUAAAAAUUCAUUUGUGUCAUAUUUGAGUUUUAAAAACUUCAAACAGUUUUACACAAACUGGCAUGUUUAAUCUUUACGUAAUCUUUACAAACACCCUAGAUAGUACUUUUAUUCCCAUUUUACAGAUGAAGAAACUAAGAUUCAAGGUUACAGAGCUUCUGGGAGUUCCCCUUGUGGCACAGCAGAAAUGAAUAUGACUAGUAACCAUAAGGUUGCAGUUUCGAUCCCUGGCUUCGCUUAGUGUGUUAAGGAUCCAGCUUGCUGUGAGCUGUGGUGUAGGUUGCAGACACAGCGAGGAUCUGGCAUUGCUGUGGCUGUGAUGUAGGCCAGCAGCCACAGCUCUGAUUCAACUCCUAGCCUGGGAACCUCCAUAUGCCUAUGCUGUGAAUUUUCAUGUGGCCCUAAAAAGAAAAUAAAUAAAUAAAUAAAAGGUUACAGAGCUUCUUAGUGGCAGAGGUGUCUGAUAUUCACUGCUGAAUUCAAAAUUCUGUAAAUUAAAGUCUUAUAAGGGUAAUAUAGGGGUUGGAAUAUUUUUGUUCAAUAUUCUGUUAUUAAACAUAAUUUCAGUUUUAAUCAAAACAAAACAUCCAAGGCAUAGCUUUCCAUAACAAUUGAGAAAAACACAUAACUAAUAAAGUGUAUUUCUUAAAUAAUAGGAAGUAAAAUUUGAAAUUACUCUUUGAUCCAUCAUGGGGUGCAGAAUGGAUGUGUGUUAGCAGGCAUGAAAACAACAUUAAUCUAAUUGUUCAUCUCCAUGAAAGCUCUUGGUUGACCAGAUGUACUGUCAACGAGCAGUAAUAUUUUGAAAGGAAUCUAUUUUUUGAGCAGUAGUUCUCAAUAGGGUGCUUAAAAUACUCAGUAAACCACGUUGUAAACAUUUACACUGUCAACCAGGCUUUGUUGUUCAUUCACAGGGCACAGGCAGAGUAGAUUUAGCCUAACUCAAGGGUCUAGGAUUUUCAAAAUGUUCAAAAUGGUAAAUGACCAUUGGCUUCAACUUAGAGUUACUAGCUGCAUUAUCCCUUAAUAAGAGUUAGCUUUUCCUUUGAAUCUUUGAAGCCAGAUACUGACCUCUCUCCAGCUGUGAAAAUCCUAGAUGGCAUUUCAUUCCAACAUAAGGCUAUAUCAUCUACAUCAAAAAUCUGUUAUUUAGCAUAGCUACCUUCAUGAAUUAUCUUAGCUAUAUCUCCCGGAUAACUUCUUCAGUGUCUGCAUCAGCACUUGCUGCUUAAUUUGCACUUUGAUGUUUUAGACAUGGCUUCUUUCCUUAUACUCCAUGACCCAACUUCUGCCACCAGCUUCCAGUUUUUCUUCAGCAGCUUCCUUACCUCUCUCAGCUUUCAUGGAACUGAAGAGAAUUAGGAUUUUUCUCUGGAUUAGGCUUUGGUUUAAGGGAAUAGACACGCUUCAUUUCACUUGAACUUUAGAGGCCAUGAUAGGGUUAUUAAGUGGCUUAAUUUCAAUACUGCUGUGCCUUAGGGUAUAGGAAGACCUGAGGAGAGGGAGAGAGAAUAGAGACUGGGGAACUGCUGGGCAGUAGAGCAGCCAGAACACACAUAUUUGUUGAUCAAGUUUGCUGACUUAUGUGGAUACAGUUCAUGGCACCUCAAAACAAUUACAAUAUUAACACCAAAGAUCACUGGUCAUAGAUCACCAUGACAAAUAUAAUAAUAAUGAAAAAGUUUAAAAUAUUAUGAGAAUUACCAAAAUGAGACACAGAGACAUGAAGGGAGCAACUGCUGUUGAAAAAUAUGGCAUCUACAAAUCUGUUCAAUGCAGGGUUACCACCAACCUUCAACUUGUAAAAUACUCAGUAUCUGCCAAGGGCAAUAAAGUGAGGCUCAAUGAAACAAGGUGUGCCUGUUCUGUACUUGUUCUUUGUGUAACCAUAGGCUUUCAGUGUUAUUCUCUCACCUAAUAGACCUCCAGGAAGACUGUAUCUUUAUCUGUAUCAAUAAAUCAUUUUAUUCCAUUAAUUGUACUGUGCACAACUAUUUGCAAGCAGAGUUAGUAACUAAAUCCCUUAAUCCAACUCACUUGCAACGAUCAGAUUAAUCUUCUUAUCACACCAAUUUUCAUUGUCAUUCUCCCUU
rnacentral:lncRNA from 1 species